GCUCACUUUGGGGAGGACAUACAGUGAAAAUGGAAAGGGACAGAGAAGGUUAGCAUGGCCCCCAUGCGAGCGAGGAUGACAGGCAAACUCGCCAAGUGUUCUGCAUUUUC